CAACCUCAACUCAUAUGGGACUACCCCCUGAAUUUAAGCAUAUUAAUUAGGGGAGGAAAAGAAACUAACAAGGAUUUUCUUAGUAGCGGCGAGCGAAAAGAAAUCAGUUCAGCACUAAGUCACUUUGUCUAUAUGGCAAAUGUGAGAUGCAGUGUACGGAACAUCAACAUUCUAGUAUGAGAAGUUAACGAUUUAAGUCCUUCUUAAAUGAGGCCAUUUACCCAUAGAGGGUGCCAGGCCCGUAUAACGUUAAUGAUUACUAGAUGGUGUUUCCAAAGAGUCGUGUUGCUUGAUAAAAAAGCACUAAGUGGGUGGUAAACUCCAUCUAAAACUAAAUAUAACCAUGAGACCGAUAGUAAACAAGUACAGUGAGGGAAAGUUGAAAAGAACUCUGAAUAGAGAGUUAAAUAGUACGUGAAACUGCUUAGAGGUUAAGCCCGAUGAACCUGAAUAUCCGUUAUGGAAAAUUCAUCAUUAGAAUUGUAAUAUUUUAAACAAUAUUAUAAUAAUAGUGUGCAUUUUUUCCAUAUAAGGACAUUGUAAUCUAUUAGCAUAAAUAUUUAUCAUAAAAUUAUGUCUGAUUGCUUAUUUGAAUAAAAGGCUUGGCAUUUUAACAUAAAAUAAAA
rnacentral:ncRNA from 1 species